UGGGGAAUAUUGCACAAUGGGCGCAAGCCUGAUGCAGCCAUGCCGCGUGUGUGAAGAAGGCCUUCGGGUUGUAAAGCACUUUCAGCGGGGAGGAAGGCGAUAAGGUUAAUAACCUCAUCGAUUGACGUUACCCGCAGAAGAAGCACCGGCUAACUCCGUGCCAGCAGCCGCGGUAAUACGGAGGGUGCAAGCGUUAAUCGGAAUUACUGGGCGUAAAGCGCACGCAGGCGGUCUGUCAAGUCAGAUGUGAAAUCCCCGGGCUCAACCUGGGAACUGCAUUCGAAACUGGCAGGCUAGAGUCUUGUAGAGGGGGGUAGAAUUCCAGGUGUAGCGGUGAAAUGCGUAGAGAUCUGGAGGAAUACCGGUGGCGAAGGCGGCCCCCUGGACAAAGACUGACGCUCAGGUGCGAAAGCGUGGGGAGCAAACAGG
rnacentral:rRNA from 1 species